UUGUUUAUUUUCGGGAUUCGUGUAUUUUCUUUAAUUUUCGGUUUCAAAAGGAAAAAGGCCACAUUUUAGUGUUUUUUUAAAUUGCUAGGAUGGGAAAAACUUGUGUCGUUUGUGUCGCAUCAUGAUAAAAAGGUGAUUCAAGCCGAUCUUUUCACAAAUUGCCUAAUAUAUGCCCAAAGGGAACAAUGGAUUUCAUUAAUGGAAAUCAACAAAAUUAAACAGAACAUAUUUGUUUGUUCAGAUCACAUCCUUAGAAGUGAUUUCUUAUAUAAGGAAGAUAAUAUUAUCAGUAGCCAGACUUAGACCAAACAGAUGAAAAAAAUCAGCUCUACCUCAAAGGUAAUUUUUUUUUAAAUAUAUUUUUCUAGUAUAAAAAAAUCGUCACAAAAAGGAUUAGUGUUACUCAUAUAAGCUUUAUUUAUACCUAAUACUUAUUAAAUUAGGUAUGUAUGUAAAACUAUUUUUUUACUAGGAUUUCUGAUGCACUGGUUAAAAACACAGCAGCUGAUAAUUCAGUUAAUUUACCAAGUGAUUUACCCUUCAAAGCUGCAGGAAUAGCUUUCCUGAAGAGUGCAAAAACUUCUUUAGCUUCCAAAAUGGUAUAUAGUACAAACAGUGAAGCUGAUAUAGACAAAUCUGAUCAUUCAUCAUCAACAAUAACUGCAUCUGAGAUUAAUAGUUCUACAGUAACAGUGGGGUCUAGGUCAACAAUUACUAUUUCUCAUCCAAGCCGUUUUUGUUUAACUGCUACAUAUUCCCUGACUCUGCCAAGGAAAAGGUAAAAAUACACUCAAAAUAGACUACUAGUUUUAUGCCAUGUAUCAUCCUAUUCUAUAUAUCUUAUUUAAAAGUGAUAUAGUAUUUUAUUGUGUUAUAUUUGUUUAAUUAAAUGCAAUUAAUUGGUAAUACUAUAUUUUUAUGUAUAUUAUUCUAGGGUAAAAUCAAAAUGAUAUCCUGAGGACCUAAGCACUGAUGAUUCCACCGUUUCAAAAGCUAAAUCACUUGUUACCAAAUUAUGGAAAAAAAAUAAAGAGCAAAAAAUUAAAAUUCGAAGAUUGCAAUAAACAAAUUUGCCCCAAAGAAAUUGAAUUAGAUGUCUCAAGUCAUUAUUAAAAUACUUAAGAAAUAAUAACAUGAUUUUUGAAAAAGCCCAACAUACUACAUAUUUUAUUUGACUUGUAAAAGUACUUGUUUGUAUAUUUUUACUAAUAAACUAUUUAAU